AAACGCAACAAAUACAACUUCAAACAACGGAUCUCUUGGCUCUCGCAUCGAUGAAGAACGCAGCGAAAUGCGAUAAGUAAUGUGAAUUGCAGAUUUUCAGUGAAUCAUCGAAUCUUUGAACGCACCUUGCGCUCCUUGGUAUUCCGAGGAGCAUGCCUGUUUGAGUGUCAUUAAAUUCUCAACCCCACCGAUUUGUUUCGGUUGUGGGCUUGGACUUGGAGCGUGCUGGCGAAAGUCGGCUCCUCUCUAAAUGCAUCAGCGGAUAAUAAUAUACCCUUUGCUGUCAUCAGUGUGAUAAUCAUGUCUCGCUGUUACCAGGCUCGGUGGUGUUCCGCUUCUAAUGGUCUUCGGACGAUACACUUUUAAAUUUGACCUCAAAUCAGGUAGGACUACCCGCUGAACUUAAGCAUAUCAAUAAGCGGAGGAAAAGAAACUAACAAGGAUUCCCCUAGUAACUGCGAGUGAAGCGGGAAAAGCUCAAAUUUAAAAUCUGGCGGUUUCACCGUCCGAGUUGUAAUCUGGAGAAGCGUCUUCCGCGC
rnacentral:rRNA from 1 species